CAUCGGUAGUAAAAAAGACUAAUGGUUAGUAUGCCAGGAACUGCAAUGAUGUAAAGUCAUCAAAUUAUGAGUCCCAAAUAGGAAAACACAUGACGCACGUAUGGAUGUAAAGUCAGGAAGGCAAGACAACUGCCAGCAUCUUACCUCUAAAAACGUGCUGUAAGAUCACAAAAAGGAACUCCCCAACACUCAAAAUAGAUACAACCCUAGCAGUACCCAUUGCAUAGAUGCAUUUCCUCUUCCUGAGCACAAACAGAUGGCCGGUUUAACAACAACACCAUUUGUCCAACUUCAAGAGAGUAAGUGUUUUUGCUUGCACUAACUUAGGUGCCAAACAGGAAGCUGGAGAACAGACACAGGAUGCUGCCCUUGACCAGUUGGACCAUGUCCAAAUUCAUCUGGAAAAGCAGAUGAGUCCAGACCAGUUCCCCCAAUCUCUAAUCCCUCAACAAACCCAUUGCUGUUUUUCUGUAUAUGGGAAACAGUGCUUCUAGUGACCAUGUAACCCUUGUCUGAUUCUGUCCUUUUCAAGCUGUCCUGCUGUUAAUGAGCCCUUGCCCUUUGGCCCAUGUUCUAAAUAUGAAUUUAAGGAUUUUAAGAAGACCAAGGUUGCAAAGAUUCAGGCUGAAUCUCGUCCUCAGGCAAAACAAACUUGACACCAAUAAAUUACUGGACUUAAAUUAGCAUGAUAACAAAAGAAUGUGCAGAACAUCUAUCAACAAAGGAUACAAAUUCAACCACAUCCUGCCUUGAAUCUCAUCAACUGGCUCUGCCACAGUGAAAUGAUCAGAUUUCGUGGGACACUCUGAAAAUUAAGAAAGCCAUACCAAAAUAUAAUAGCACAACCAGGAACACGCCUACAUGUAAAGAAAAUAAAAACGAAAAUAAAAACACAUACUUCCUAUGAUAAAGAUCACACAGGAUCCUGGCUGCAGAGAUUAUAAAUUCUUGUUUUGAAAAGCAAUAUUCAAAACCUCUGUUCCAAAUAAAUCCUGUUGUUUAACCGGUGUUGCAGGGUGCAGCCAAACAUUAUUGUGUGCAUGAGAAAUAGAAGAGAGAUGGGUUGCAACAUGUCUAAACACAAGAUGGAGUGAUAAUGGGACAUUCACAAAUGUACAAAUAAAUAAAAUUUGCCUCAGAUUAGAGUUCUAGCUCUCAUAUUUCAAGUAUAGAGGAAGCUUUAUUCUUAAAGAUUAGUGGGUUGCAGAUCUGGCAUGAAUUGCUUGAAAAGAUGUCUCAGGAGAGAUGCAAUGCAAUGUUUGCACCAUCAAUUUUAAAAUGGCCUUUUUUAGACUUAGGAUCCUGAGGAAAGCUGACAACCUAAGUUACAGAGCAAAACUGUGAUCAUUUUUCUGUGUUAACUCAAGGGCCAUGUAAAGUCAGCUGGUAUAUAUCUAGGUCAGUAAGUAACUAAUGAUAUUAAAAUGCUGGUUUAAAAAAAUACAAAUUUGGUUUGAUGAUGGCAAUGUUCACUAAAUACUAAAUUAUAAUCAAACUAGUAGAAAUGUCUGCAGCAUACUGAUUGAUAGACUGGGUGUCUUUGAAUGAGACUUUCUGACUUUUUAUUUAACUUGCAAGACUGGGACUAAUUUGCAAACAAAAAUCCCACAUGGGAUUCCACAAGGCUCAUUUCUCAGGCCCCUUUUGUUUAAUAAUAAAAUGCUCAUACUGGUUUAAAUUUUAUGUUGAUGACACAUAACUUUACAUUUCUUUGUCUCUAUAUGACCACAGUCCCUUAGAGUCACUAAGUUAGUGGGCCCAUAGUAUCAAUAAGUGGAAGGUCCAGAAUGUGCUUAAGCUUAAUGAAGAAAAAUCUAUUUUUUACCUAAAAAAGAUUAGAAAUGACCACUUAGCUCGACUCAAUGAGGCUACAAAAUCAACAGAGCAUUCCAGAAUUUUCAGAUUACUGUAAUUGUGUCCUUACAGUAUAAAAAAAGGCAGCUGUAGCUCCUUUACAAUGCUCCUGCCAAUUACCCUUAGUUUUCUUGUAAAGCACAUCAUAAUACCUUGUGUAUGAAAUUGUCAGGUGUCUGUGUUGGUGUGCAGUUUGUGUGUGUGUGUGUGUUUCUUUCCACCCUCUGCUCUUGAGCGUUCCCUGGCAGGUGCUGCUGAUCAGAGCCUAAUUACUGGGCUUCUUCAGGAGCUGAGACUAGGAGGGAGACAUCAGCCCGUCGCUUCAUUUUAAGUGACCUUGCCUGUUGUUUUUUUUUAAGGCUCCCAGUCCUGUGAACUGGUUCUGAGUGAGUUUCAAGGUUUGUUCAUCGUCUCCUACUGUAAGUCCCCCUGCCUCCUCAGCUUCUGGCCCUGGCUCGGGAAAGAUCCUUACGGAGAACCAUUCUCCUGUUGUCACCUGCCUGUCCACCCUCCUACAUGGGAAUGCUCAAACUGAGACCUCGAGCUAUACAAGAGAAGUAAGGGAAAAAAACUGCUGCUGACCGCACACAUCCUGCCAACCUCCUUCACAGAGGAAGGACUUACCUCCCCAGCGAAACCACUAUCAUUCUGGCUAGAAGAACCAGUCCCUUGCUGUCGCUGUCUGGAUUCCUGUCUUGCCUCCGUUCAUUCACUUCACAAAAUAAAUCUGUUCAAAUGCUACCCUGAAUUUGUUGUUGUGUUCUCCUCAGAGUUAAAGGAAACUCUUCAUUAUGACAGAAACGUACUGUCAAAAAAAGCAUGCUUUGCCUUUUUCAAU